rnacentral:misc_RNA from 1 species
AAUGCGAUAAGUAAUGUGAAUUGCAGAAUUCAGUGAAUCAUCGAAUCUUUGAACGCACCGUGCGCUCCUUGGUAUUCCUUGGAGCAUGCCUGUUUGAGUAUCAUGAAAUCUUCAAAGUAAAUCUUUUGUUAACUCAAUUGGUUUCUACUUUGGUAUUGGAGGUCUUUGCAGCUUCACACCUGCUCCUCUUUGUUCAUUAGCUGGAUCUCAGUGUUAUGCUUGGUUCCACUCGGCGUGAUAAGUUAUCUAUCGCUGAGGACACUGUAAAAGGUGGCCAAGGUAAAUGCAGAUGAACCGCUUCUAAUAGUCCAUUGACUUGGACAAUACUUUUAUGAUCUGAUCUCAAAUCAGGUAGGACUACCCGCUGAACUUAAGC